rnacentral:rRNA from 1 species
UACGUAGGGUGCAAGCGUUGUCCGGAAUUAUUGGGCGUAAAGAGCUCGUAGGUGGCCUAUCGCGUCGGCUGUGAAAACUCGGGGCUCAACUCCGAGCUUGCAGUCGAUACGGGCAGGCUAGAGUUCGGCAGGGGAGACUGGAAUUCCUGGUGUAGCGGUGAAAUGCGCAGAUAUCAGGAGGAACACCGGUGGCGAAGGCGGGUCUCUGGGCCGAUACUGACGCUGAGGAGCGAAAGCGUGGGGAGCGAACAGG